UUAAAUUGAAGAGUUUGAUCAUGGCUCAGAUUGAACGCUGGCGGCAGGCCUAACACAUGCAAGUCGAGCGGAAACGAGUUAACUGACCCUUCGGGUGACGUUAACGGCGU
rnacentral:rRNA from 1 species